GAAAAAAUUAGAGUUUUCAAAACCGGCUGAGGCAAUUUUUCUCCUUCGAAUCCUUUAGCAUGGGAUCAGGGAAUAGGACCCGGCCCACCUAUUUUCCGUUGGAUUUGGCGGCUUUCAGGACUAGGGUAAUGAUUAAUAGGGAUAGUUGGGGGCAUUAAUAUUUAUUUGCCGGAGGUGAAAUUCUUGGAUUUAUGAAACAUUAACUUCUGCGAAAGUUUCUGCCAAGGAUGUUUUCCUUAAUCGAGAACGAAGGUAAGGGGAUCUUUUACGAUCAAAUACCGUCGUCCUCUUAGCUUUCAGCGAUGCCGACCAGCCCCCAGGAGACGUUGAAUACAA
rnacentral:rRNA from 1 species